UACGUGGGGGUGCAAGCGUUUGUUCGGAAUUACUGGGCGUAAAAGCGCGUGUAGGCGGCGCACUAAGUUCGAUGUGAAAGCCCUGGGCUCAACCCCAGGAACUGCAUUGAAAAACUGGUGUGCUUGAGUCCGGGAGAGGGUCGCGGAAUUCCUGGUGUAGAGGUGAAAUUCGUAGAUAUCAGGAGGAACACCGGUGGCGAAGGCGGCGACCUGGACCGGUACUGACGCUGAGGAGCGAAAGCGUGGGGAGCGAACAGG
rnacentral:rRNA from 1 species